rnacentral:lncRNA from 1 species
AUGCAAAACUAUCUUUUACUAUCUUUUUCCUUUUCCUCAGAUGCACAUGAGACUGAAGGAGGAACAGGGAAUCUGAAGACUCCAGAUGACAGGAGAGCUACUUUUCAACAGCCUUCUCGAUUUCCUUUCUCAGAAAGUAGAUACAAACCUUGUUGGAGACAGAUGAGCACUGAUAUUUGCAUUUAAUUGGAAGCAAGAUGAAGAAGGAGCAGUGCAUUCACUAAGGAGUCUGUCUGCUUGCUUCUGUAGACCUACGUAUUAAGGAAUUCUUCUGCUUCUUCUUGCUUAGGAGUUGAUCUGCUCUGUGGUCCUACUGCUUUGGAGUUUGCCUGCUUUUUUUGUCAUUGCCAGAAGAAAUCCUGGUUGGAGUGAAACAGUGCAUCUCUGUCUAAUUACCAUGGAAGGUGAUAAACUGACGCCCGCUUAUUAAAGUUACAUCUCACUCCCCCACAGAAAACCAUUCUUCAGCGUGACUAGAAACCAAGCCCU